UCGUACUUGAAAGCACUGAAGUUGUCAAGGACACCAUGCUUUUUUGCAUCAUCUGCAAGAUGUACAAGACAGUGUGCACUGUAGGACAAGAAUUGUGGACCAUACAGUUGACCAAAGUGAGAGACAAAGAGCACCACCUACAAGUCAGAGGACUCAUCUUCAGCCACAAGAGAAGAAGCUGUCUCAUGAUGGUGCAUGUAGUCGAGGGGGAAACCAGAGACCAUGUUUAGGGAUGUUUCUUCAAGAGGUACAAACCAUCCUGUGUGCAUUUUUCACAUCCGUGAUAGCCUGUGUGACCUUUAACAUUUUUCAGGAAUGCACGGGCAGGUGCAUCGCAGACCAUCGAAGAGAUGUCCCUAGGAUGGGCCAGAACUGUGAUGCUGAGCUCUUAUAAAGUAGCAAACCAUCAAUGCUGACCAGAAGCUCCAAUGUGUAAAUGUUGUGCAGAAUGUCAACAUUCUGAUGUAGCACCUCUGCAAUUGAAUUCAGCACUCCG